rnacentral:rRNA from 1 species
AAAUUGAAGAGUUUGAUCAUGGCUCAGAUUGAACGCUGGCGGCAGGCCUAACACAUGCAAGUCGAACGGUAACAGGAAGAAGCUUGCUUCUUUGCUGACGAGUGGCGGACGGGUGAGUAAUGUCUGGGAAACUGCCUGAUGGAGGGGGAUAACUACUGGAAACGGUAGCUAAUACCGCAUAAUGUCGCAAGACCAAAGAGGGGGACCUUCGGGCCUCUUGCCAUCGGAUGUGCCCAGAUGGGAUUAGCUUGUUGGUGGGGUAA